AUUCUGCCCAUGCGGGGAAGGAUGAGAAGCUUCGACCAAGGUUCGGCUGGAGCGGCAGCGAGAGAGCGUUGCCGCAGGCAACGACCCGAAGGGCGAAGCGCGCAGCGCUGAGUAAUCCUUCCCCCACCACCA
rnacentral:sRNA from 1 species